rnacentral:lncRNA from 1 species
AUUGUAGGGGACUCUGUUUCUUCAGAGAGAGAGAGAGGGGGAAAGAAUGGUCUUGUGAGGAGGUUUAGUAAAAAGAUGUUGGAUUUGAAGAGGGCUUCACUGAUCUAUUACCAUAAGUAUGUCAAUAGGGUUAUUAAGCUUGUCUAGUUUAUGGUUGUUACCAUGUUCAUGUGGGGAUUCCUCUUCCUCUCUGUCUACUUCAUUCCGGGUUCUCAGGAUUAAACUUACCUAGUGAUUACACAACAACAACACCCUUUUUAGUUUAUUAGAAAAGCUUCUCCUGUUCUAGCAUCUUCAAGGAUUUUGAUUUAAACAGUUUCUAUUAGUCUACCUUAGUCUUAUUCUGCUUCCUUCCCGUUUGUCGUUUCACCUGGAAACAACUUUUGAGUUUCCCUGUCUUCUUCUCUGUCUAUUUGGAGUUUGGUUUUAGGCUCUAGUCUUUGGUUUUUGGAUAUGGCAGGGCUUGAAUCCAAGCUUCCUGUUGUUCCUGGAGUGAAAAAUCAUGUCUUGGAGGCAUGUCACCAUGUCGUUAAGGCGCUGAGGGCAUCUGAUAACAACCUAGAUCCCAACUUGACAAAGCUUCUAAGUGACCUAGAGUCUCAUCUGUCAACACUUGAGAUCGUUGAUACCAAAGUUGUUGAAGAAGAUACAAGAUUCUCCGAGAUCAAGAAGAGAUUCAAAAAAGCUAAGAAGAUUAUCCUUGCCUGGGAACAAAACCAGUCCAUGAUAUUUGAAGCUGGUGUCUCUAUAGCUGAUCAGUUCUUCCAAGCCCUCCACGAUGUUCAAACACUUCUUUUGGGUUUCACAGCUUUGCCCAUCAGAACCAACAAGAAGGAGAAAGAUGUUUACAACCAAGCCGCGGUUGUUCUUGACAUCGCGAUGUUUAGGCUUGAGAAAGAGCUCUGCGAUGUCCUGAAUCAGUACAAACAGCAUGUACAGCCUCAGUACUUGUCUGUCAGUUCCCGUGGUAAAGAUAUCAUUUACGAUGAGUCCUUUGUCUCCCUAGAUGAUGUUGUCGUUGAAGCUACUGAUGACCAACAGAUACUGGGAUCCAAUAAUGUCGUUUUACUCGAUCCCCUCGUCAUUCCUCACAUCAAAGCUAUUGCAAAGGCGAUGUUUGCUUGCGACUAUGGUCAAGCAUUCCGCGAAGCUUUCAUCACCGUCAGAAGAGACGCUCUCGAUGAGUACAUGUCCACCACUCUCGAAAUGGAGAGAUACAGCUGCGUGGACGUUCUUGGAAUGCAGUGGGAGGACUUGAACUGUGAGAUGAGAAAAUGGACGAAGGUGUUAAAGAUCGUGACUCAGGUCUACCUCGCCAGCGAAAAACAGCUCUGCGACAAGAUCUUGGGAGACUUUGAGCCGAGUUCCGCCGCUUGCUUCGUCGAGAUCUCCAAAGAUACAGUACUAUCUCUCCUCGCCUUUGGCGAAGCUGUGUCCCUCAGAUCAUGCCAGCCAGAAAUGCUUGAACGCUUCCUCGGCAUGUACGAAGUCUCAGCAGAGCUUCUCUUGGACGUUGAUAACCUCUUCGGUGAUGAAACGGGGUCGUUUCUAAGAAUGGCUUUCCACGAGCUGGCGAAGACGCUAGCUGAUCGUACGGUUGCGACGUUCUUGAAGUUCAAAAACGCAAUAGCCUCUGAUGAAUCCACACGCGCCUUCUCUGGCGGCGGAAUACAUCACCUGACCAGGUAUGUAAUGAACUACUUGAAGCUUCUACCUGAGUACAAGGAUGCACUAAACACACUCCUCGAGAACAUACAAGUCGAUGACUCGAUCCCCGAGAAGACAGGACAAGACAUCCUCCCUUCCACGUUCUCUCCCAUGGCGAGACACCUCAGAUCAAUCGUCACAGCUCUAGAAUCCACCCUCGAACGCAAAGCUCAGCUCUACGCAGGGGAACCGCUCAAGUACAUCUUCCUGAUGAACAAUUGUCAUUACAUGGUCCAGAAGGUAAAAACGUCAGAGCUGAGACACUUCUUCGGAGACGAGUGGAUCAGGAAACACAUCGCGAGCUACCAACACAACGUCACAAACUACGAGAGAGCCACGUGGAGCUCUGUCCUAUCUCUGCUUAAAGAGAACAACAAAGACUCUGUUUCCACCUUGAGAGAAAGAUGCAGACUCUUCUGUGUUGCGUUCGACGAUGUUUACAAGAACCAGACACGCUGGUCGGUCCCUGAUCCCGAGCUGAGGGAUGAUCUUCACAUCUCGACCUCUGUCAAAGUUGUUCAGUCCUACAGAGGGUUUCUUGCAAGAAACGCAACUAAAAUAGGUGAGAAACACGUGAGAUACACUUGUGAAGAUAUUGAGAGUUUGCUUCUUGAUCUCUUUGAGUGUUUGCCUUCUCCAAGAUCAUUGCGCACCUCUCGUAGGAGAUGACGAUGAUGAUGACGUAUGACUCGAGCCUUUUAUUGACUCGAUCUUUUGUAUUUUUUUUCGUAUUCAGUGAUUUUGUGUAACAUGUUGUAAACUUGUAAUAUAUACUCUUGUCUCUUGGGGAUGGAUGUAAUUUGAUUUGCAAUAAUUGAAAAGUAAUCGUUUUUAA